AAUUCAAAUUCAGAAGCCAAUAGUAGUCAGGACUGAUGUCUGCAGAGACAACAGUAACUAUAUUCCUACACCUGAAACGGUUCUAAAAUUAAGUACAUGACCGACUGCCUAAAAAUGUGCUCUUAACAGGAUGAUAGGUUUCUACAGAGGUUAGUUGACUGCCAACGACAGCGCUGGUUUAACCAAAAGAUGCACAAAUCCCCCAUCAAUUUUAGCUAACCAAAAGUUGGCGAUAGCCCCUGUAGUCCAAGGGUCAAACCCAAGCCAGAGAGGGAAUAGUUAUUUUGGUGGCGACCUGUUCUAUAAGCAACUAGCUCCCAUUAUAGAACAACCGAUACAAUAACAACAACAAAAGGCAGUGCGCACCCAAGU
rnacentral:lncRNA from 1 species